CCUACGGGUGGCAGCAGUGGGGAAUAUUGGGCAAUGGGCGCAAGCCUGACCCAGCAACGCCGCGUGAAGGAAGAAGGCUUUCGGGUUGUAAACCUCUUUUAUCAGGGACGAAGCAAGUGACGGUACCUGAUGAAUAAGCCACGGCUAACUACGUGCCAGCAGCCGCGGUAAGACGUAGGUGGCAAGCGUUAUCCGGAUUUACUGGGUGUAAAGGGCGUGUAGGCGGGAAAGCAAGUCAGAUGUGAAAACCCUGGGCUCAACCUGUGGCCUGCAUUUGAAACUGUUUUUCUGGAGUACUGGAGAGGCAGACGGAAUUCCUAGUGUAGCGGUGAAAUGCGUAGAUAUUAGGAGGAACACCAGUGGCGAAGGCGGUCUGCUGGACAGCAACUGACGCUGAGGCGCGAAGGCGUGGGGAGCAAACAGGAUUAGAUACCCUGGUAGUC
rnacentral:rRNA from 1 species